rnacentral:rRNA from 1 species
AUUGAACGCUGGCGGCAUGCCUUACACAUGCAAGUCGAACGGCAGCGCGGACUUCGGUCUGGCGGCGAGUGGCGAACGGGUGAGUAAUACAUCGGAACGUACCCUGUUGUGGGGGAUAACUAGUCGAAAGAUUAACUAAUACCGCAUACGACCUGAGGGUGAAAGUGGGGGACCGCAAGGCCUCACGCCGCAGGAGCGGCCGAUGUCUGAUUAGCUAGUUGGUGGGGUAAAGGCCCACCAAGGCGACGAUCAGUAGCUGGUCUGAGAGGACGAUCAGCCACACUGGGACUGAGACACGGCCCAGACUCCUACGGGAGGCAGCAGUGGGGAAUUUUGGACAAUGGGGGCAACCCUGAUCCAGCAAUGCCGCGUGUGUGAAGAAGGCCUUCGGGUUGUAAAGCACUUUUGUCCGGAAAGAAAUCGCGCUGGUUAAUACCUGGCGUGGAUGACGGUACCGGAAGAAUAAGCACCGGCUAACUACGUGCCAGCAGCCGCAGUAA